rnacentral:lncRNA from 1 species
GUGAGUGGCGGUAGCUUUUCCAUGAUGUCCACAGUUGCUAUCAAUGCUGAUGUGAAAUUCCAGGUCUUUGCUGGUCAGUGACCUUUGAGAGGACGUUGGCUUCCUCUUUCCAGAUUUAGCCUCAUGGUAUAUCCUUCCCUUUUCAUUGAACAUCACAUCCGGGAGAGAUCUGCAUUAGAUUUUCCUUCAGCUAAUUUCAUUGGCCUUUAAUGGAGAAGGCAGUUUUCCAGUUGUUUCCUUCAUGUUCACUACAGAGUUUACGGGACAUCUCAUCAGGAAAACAUCUAGCUCUUUAUCUGAUGCAUAGUUUAUAAUAAAAAUAUUAGUUUUUUAAAAAAUUCUCUACAGUAAAUGUAUUGUUCAUGGACCAUGCCAAUUUGAUGUUUUAGGAGUUUACGUUUUGGCCUCAACGGCUUGCUUACUGGAAGAUAUGAAUGUAUACCAGGCUGUAAAUGCCUAAGAGUGAGGCCAAGUAUGAGCUAUAACGAGCCUAAGGAAUGCCUGUCUCAUACCAUUCAGCUUUGGCUGUAAUCAGUCCAGAAUGAGCUUAUACAACACUCUAUCAUUAUAGUGAGUCAUGUGUUUAGACG